rnacentral:sRNA from 1 species
CUUCAUAAGCUUGCUGGGGGCAAAUAAAGUGGAUAUGCGAAUCGAAACCGCCGUAUGUCACAAUCUUGCCUUCGGCAGCAACAACAUCCGUAUUAGAGCCAACAAUCAUAUCAGGGUGCACGCCAGCCAUUACGUCCGGGUUGCCAGCUUUGCCAAUACCGACAAUCAUGGCAUUCUUAAUGCCAAUGUCAGCUUUGUAAAUCCCGCUCCAAUCCACAAUCAAUGCAUUGGUAACAACGGUAUCCAGGCAAGAAGCAUCGGGGAUGCCAACCAUCUGGCCCAUGCCAUCUCUCAC